AAGACGAAAAAACCGCUAGACGAAGAGAAUCGCGGAACGGAUUCUUUUCGUCUUGCGAGGCACCACUGUAAUGCCAUAAUAUUAAGUCAAGUUCAAUAUUAUAAUAGAUUUAAGGCAAUGUUAGCUGGGGGAGGGGGAAGUUUUCAAUUCUGGGGGUGAGUGGGGAUUGGCUGUGAUUUUGGAAGGGUGAAGUACAACAUAACCGUCAAGCCUUUGGCUAAUGAAACUUUAUCCUUUCUCUUUGUGGGAGACAGAAAUAUUGGUGUGUUUCAUUUUUGUUUUUAUUAUGUAAUUGGUGUUUUUAUUUUGAAUGUUAAUGCUGGGUACUGCCCUGAUAUCUUCCAAUGAAGGCAGUAUAUGAAUUUUAAUAAAUGAAAAAUAAGGUCAUAAACCAUAAAGGAAAAUGUAAAAAUUCUCUGGGGAGGCAGCUGGAAUGAAGGGGCUGUUUGGUGAAAGACCCAGUCAAGACCCAGCUCACAGCUCUGCCCCUUGAGCGCUCUGGGAAGGGCCCCCAUAGCUGAGGGCCUGGGGGCACCUGCUUGGCAUGCAGAAGGGCCUGGUCCCGGUCCGCCUUGGCAGCAUCUCUGAGAAGGAAUGAGAGCAUCCCCUGCGGAAAGAGACCUCCUGCCCCAAGGAGGCUGGGCUGCAGCUCCCAUCAUCCCUCGCCAUGGACCAAGUGGGCUGGGGCUGAUGCGAGUUGUAGUCCAGCCACACCUGGAGGUUUGCCAAGGGCGGUGCAGAGAGCGUGGAGCUGCUUGGGUUAGAAGGGCUGGAGCAGGACACCUGCUUGGCAUGCAGAAGGGCCCAGGCUCCCUACUCCCAGCAGCAUCUCUAUCCGCCAGGGACCCUGGCCGGGAAAGGCAGGCAGGAGCCUGGUCCUCCCUGUCGCAAGGGUUAAAAGCAGCCGAUCCUCCUUCCUAGAGGGGAGGGGCAAUCUUGGCGUGGGGGGCGCGGGUCCCUCUAGGAAAUCUCUCGGGAUCCGCCUGGCCUGCUUUGGAGGGAGAGAUGGGGCGCCCGGCAUUCCAAGCGUUAAAGAGGAGCCGAGCUGGGUUCCUAGAGUGGACAGGAAAAUAGUGGAAGGGGCAGGUCCUUCGGCGCCCAAGCCCCGCCCUCCCCCGGAAGUGGGGCUCUGGUCGCUCUAGCCAAGGCUGCCUCGCCGGGUCGCCCAGCCAUCGUUGCAGUCUCCAUUCUCUUGGCAGAUCAAGAUGUGCAAGGGUUUUAACCGGGUCAAUUAGAAUAAGAACCAUCAUUGGACUAUUGAUCCUCACCCCAAAAAUGUAUUUUAUGUAAUCAACUUUUUACCUUUAUCCUCUGUAAGCUACAUUUUAUGUUAUUGCUAUGGCUGGUGGCUGAUGCACAUAAAUAUUUAUUCAUUCCUUCAA